CAUAGGUUCUGAGCUUUUCUUUCAGCUAGGUUACAGACUGGGUCCUCUACAAGUCGGCUAGUUCGCUGGGCCAGAAGAAAGGAACUGCGGACACCAUUCAGGAUGCGGAUCGAUGCAGCCUCCUAAUAUCCUUGGACAGACCUGAUUGACAUUUCAGUUUGUCAGCUUCCAGAACUCUACUGUUGACUCAGUUCUAUCUCUGUUUAAUUAGAAGGGAAAGGCUGUUAAACAGAUGGGCCUGAAACCCACUUUGUAUCUCAUGCUAGAAGUGAACUAUGUUUCCAAGGAGAUUUUGAGUUCAUGGCCAGCCUGAGUUAUAUAAAAGCUAAGUCCCAAAUUAGAAAAGGAAAUUAAUAACAGAUUAAUACUUUAAUCAUUGAUAUAUACUUGACUGUGUCUACAUCUACAUGUGUGAGAGCGGGCAUGAACUUCCAGGAGGACUCACAAGUGGUUCAUGAUGCUGGGUAUGACUUAGGACAGAGACGAUGCCUCGGGAGGAAAACAAAUGAGAAGCCAAACCCUUGAAGAGGAAGGUGUGAAUGGAACCCAAUGUUCACUGGCAACAGCAGAGGAAAUACAUAGUGCCAUGAGAGUCAUUUUACAGUGGAUGGAUUAAAACAUGACAUUCAUUUAGCAACUGUUAUGAACAGAGUUUUCUGCAUUGCACAGUUGGGAACGAUGAAUCAAACAAGACUUCUGGCUCUGGUUUUCAUAGACCUCACUAUGUAAACCAGCCUGGCUUCAAAUUCAUAAAGACCGGAUCUGAGAAGCAGAUCCCAAUGCAGUGAGCAUUGACAAAUAAGCUGGAGAAGAGUGGGCCUUGUGGAAGAUGUGUAACGUAAAUUAAGCCUUGACAGGGGAAACCAGCCCAAAAGGAAGCUGUGGAAAUGCAGCUCUGGCUAUGCAAACCAGAGGAAGACUGCAAAGACAUGCAUGGCCUAGGAUCAUCCUGAAACCUCAUGAAGACUUAUUUUGGGGGCACAGGAGGCAGAUGUUCAUGAUACAUUGUUACAUGAAAGAAGUUGUGUAUACUAUAAGCACAUUUGGAUAAAAAUGUAUGUACUUAGCAAAGUGAAAAGACAAAUGAUGUCUAUCAAAGAGUAACAAUGGUUAUUUCUACAUAGUGCAUGAUUAUUGAUUUCACUUAAGUAUAACCCCCUUGUUUUUUUUUUUUUAUGUGUUCAUUUUCUACACUAAAGAUUAAUUUUGAAAAGGCGCUUAGGAGAUGAGGGAAUUACUGGCCCCAGAACCACCUGUACAUACUUCCCAAAGCAUUAUUCUGGCAAAGCCGAUGUUUCUGGUUCAGCCUCACGAAGGAUUUCAAAUAUGGUUUGAAGUUGACAGUUUAUUUAUUUAUACCAUUAACACAGUUGAUUGACUGCAGUGCUUCCCAACAAUGAAAAACUUGGUGGAUUAACCAUUAAAAUCUAGCCAAUCUUAUGAAAAAAGUCAAUUACACAUCUCUGCCAAUAUUUGGCACUGACGUUAGGUUUUGCAAUUUUUCUGAAUGUAGUCACCCUUAUUUAUUUACUUAUUUUUGCAAACAUUGCUCGUCCAUUUGUUGAUUGAUCAAGCAACUGGUUUGGCUGUUUGAGACAGGCAGCUUCUGCUGGCUUCAGAGUCUCUGUGUAGCCAAGAAUGACUUUGUACAGGAGCCUGGCCUGGAGGCCUCCACCUGCCACGUGUUGGGAUUACAGGGUGUGCUACCACAUCUGGCUGACUUGUCUUUUUAAAUAAAGAAAGUUUGUACCUCUG
rnacentral:lncRNA from 1 species